CGGGGAGAUAUAGGAUACAGGCUGAACGUGACGAGUAGUGGGGCUGGCAAGAAGAAACGAGCAAGCGGCGCGCGGCCAGUUAUGGUGGUAAACCACGGUGGGGUUGAAAGGUGGCGUAGUCAUUUAUGGUUGCCGGUUGGAUUAUUAUCCGACCCGAUGCGACAGUUCAGUUCUCUAUCCGAGCAACCGAGAUUCAAAACGAAACGCGUUGCCGUGAGAUCAGUGGAGGCCGGUUCCUCAUCGUUGGCUUCAUUACGUUUGGCCGUCACUUCGUCGAUUGCGUAACGGUAUUGGGCCUUUGACGAAAUUCUGUUGGGACUGGAAUUUAAUUAAGGGGGACAUGCAAGGGUGACGGACCGAGAGACAUAGGAAACAAGAACUCGGGAGGUUCAGGGAUACUUUGAAAUAUUAACUGGAGUGAAAGGAAAAUUAAAAAGGGAGCAACUUGAAAAGCACUAGAAUAUAACUAUUAGAAUAGAAUUAAUUUAAAUACUAAAAUGAAAAGAAGUAUACAUUUAUGUUUGAAUUAAGAGACGUGAAUUGGAAGAUGUGCAAUAUAUAAGAGUAGUUGAGAGCUUAAUUAUUAGUUAUUAAAAAGUAGAUUUAAAAUAAAAAAUCGUAUCAACUAUAAAAUAGACAUUAAUGCUCUUUUCGUUUCUCAUUUUAACCUGUAAUUAAUUAUCUUAUAUGCACAAAUGAAAAGGCUGUGAAUAAGAAGUGAUGUGAAGUUAAUUGGAAUUGUUUAACUGAAUAAUUAAUUAUUAAAGCAGGAGGUCUAAACGAAGUUUCGGUAGACUGAAAGUACAUCUAAAAUCAGGGUGCGAACUGAAAACAGGAGUUCUAGGGGAGUUAAUUAAUGGCUAAAGAUCUCCGACGACACCGAUAUACUAAACGAAGACGCGUUACGAGAACGGUUGUCACGCUGUGAAUUGCGAAACGGAACCGAGACGUUAAUGAAAUUAAAUUCCACGUAGAGUUUUUUCUUCCAAAUUGUUUCGUAAUUAAUUAAGUCUUAAAAUGAAUUUAAAGGAAAAGACUUAUAACACGUCUACUAUUAAAAUUCAUGCAAUGGAUAAGACAUUCGAAUGUAGAAAAGGAAUCUAAAACUUCACAAAUAGAGUUAAUAUUUUAUGAAAAUUAAAGGAUUCUUCGAAGAUGGGUUCAAAGGCACUAUGGGUCAAAGAGUUUCUUGAAUUAAAAAAGGAAUGUCAAUUUUUGUAAUAAGAAAUUAGACCAGUAAGGUCGAUAUGGAGCUAUGGAAAGAAUUUGAUUAAUGAUCGAACGCAUCACAGAUUUAUGAUGAUACACUGUAAAUGAAGAUUGAUUUCUUUUACAAUUUGCAACAGUUUGCAAGAAACUUCAAAAGCAGUUUUAACAAUUCCUUCAUUUCAAGAGAUUAAUUAUUCAACCGAAGGCAUAAAUAUGUCGCAAAAAUUAAUGCUUCCAAUUAAAGCACGUAGAUUAGUUAUUUCAAAUUGAAUUAAUAACUGGUUUUCUGAAGUACUUUGCAAAAUGCAAAUUUGUGAAGUGUUUAAAUUUACGUUUCUCCUCAAAGCAAAAAAGGAUAGAACAUCCUAGAAAAUAAAAAAUGUUCUAAUUCUUAAUUUGACUCACGAUUGAAGGCUUGUUAUCUCUUUGACAAUGCUCGAGACGAGUAAGGAACUGUUCCUAGCUCGGAAGGUUACUUUUUUUUAAAUAAAAGAACAAGCUGGAAGAGCCUUGAAAGACAAGAAGGAAGGAUAUGUUCAUCUUUGAAAUCGCAAAGUGAAUCAGGCAAUUGAACUCGGAACAGAAGAAGAAUUCAGUCAGUAAUAGGCGCUUGACGAGACUCUUUAGCAGCACUUCCUAAAUGGGUUUCCCCUUUCUAAAGAAUUUCCGGAGAUAGCUUUAAAAAACAAUUGAAAGUUCGUUCGAAAAGACGAACUGCGUUUAAUCACCGAUUUAAACGCGGAAUUCUAUUAUUUAAAACAUAUCUUUGAAGAACUUGAAAUCGGUAGAAUAUUAUAAAAUAUUAUAAACUAAUUUACCUUCACAACACACGUCAGAAACUCGAUAAAUUAAAUGCCGAUUCUGGUACAAAUAAUGGAAA